rnacentral:rRNA from 1 species
UACGAAGGGAGCUAGCGUUGUUCGGAAUCACUGGGCGUAAAGCGCACGUAGGCGGAUUUGUAAGUCAGGGGUGAAAUCCCGGGGCUCAACCUCGGAACUGCCUCUGAUACUGCAAAUCUCGAGUCCGGAAGAGGUAAGUGGAACUGCGAGUGUAGAGGUGAAAUUCGUAGAUAUUCGCAAGAACACCAGUGGCGAAGGCGGCUUACUGGUCCGGUACUGACGCUGAGGUGCGAAAGCGUGGGGAGCAAGCAGGG